CUACGUGCCAGCAGCCGCGGUAAUACGGAAGGUCCAGGCGUUAUCCGGAUUUAUUGGGUUUAAAGGGAGCGUAGGCGGAUUAUUAAGUCAGUGGUGAAAGACGGUGGCUCAACCAUCGUUAGCCAUUGAAACUGGUAGUCUUGAGUGCAGACAGGGAUGCUGGAACUCGUGGUGUAGCGGUGAAAUGCUUAGAUAUCACGAUGAACUCCGAUCGCGAAGGCAGGUGUCCGGGCUGCAACUGACGCUGAGGCUCGAAAGUGUGGGUAUCAAACAGGAUUAGAUACCCUGGUAGUCCACACAGUAAACGAUGUAUACUCGCGGUUUGCGAUAGAUUGCAAGCCGCCAAGCGAAAGCAUUAAGUAUACCACCUGGGGAGUACGCCGGCAACGGUGAAACUCAAAGGAAUUGACGGGGGCCCGCACAAGCGGAGGAACAUGUGGUUUAAUUCGAAGCAACGCGAAGAACCUUACCAGGUCUUGACAUCCCUCUGACCGCUCUAGAGAUAGAGCUUUC
rnacentral:rRNA from 1 species